rnacentral:lncRNA from 1 species
GUCAGACUAACCAGGAGAAAAUACAACACAAAAUACAAUGUUACACGACAGUAAUAUCAGGACCAUCUACAGAUAUUAAAGGAAUUAUAAGGAAAUAUUAUGAACACCUUUAUCACAAUAAAGACAUAUAAUUUACCAAAGUUUACUCAAAAAGAAAUAGAUAAUCUGAAUAGUCCCAUAACUAUGAAAUGAAUUUAUUUUAUAGUUAAGAAUUUUCCCACAAAGAAAAAUUCUAAUGUGUGGUUGGCUUCUUGGGUGAAUUCCCCUAUAUGUAUAAGGGAGAAAUAAUUCUAAUUUUAUAUGAAUUCUGCCAGAUAAUUCUGCUGCCCUCAUCUUAAGACAAAGACAGUACAAGGGGGAAAACAAAAACAAAACAGUCCUAGAUCCAAAUGUCCCUCAUGAGCAUAGAUACAAUUCUAAACAAUAUCUGACCAAACCAAAAGUAGCAAUCCAUAAAGGGGACAGUGCCUCAUGACUAAGUGGGAUGAUCUCCGGAAUUCAUGGAAAGUUCAACUUUCAAAUACCAAUCAAUCUUACAUUACCAGGUCCAAAACACCAGAGUAUGAAGUAAGUCCCAUAGAGGUCAAAGACCUAUAUAUAACAUAGGUAAGAGAAAUUAAAGAAGACUUAAAUAAUUGGAGAGAAAAGCUGACUUCAUAGACUUGAAGACUCAAUAUUGUUAAGUGUCAAAUCUCAAAUUGAUGCAUACAAAUGCAUUGUAAUCCAAAUAGAAUUCCCAGCAGGCAUUUUUGUAGAAAUUGGCAAGCUAAUGCCAACAUUCAUAUAGGAAUGCAAAGGACCUAGAAUAGCUCAAGAAACUUUGAGGAAGAGAAAAGUUGGAAGGUGAACACUAUCUGACUUUAAAACUUAACAGUGACUCUACAGUAAUUAAAACAGUAUGGUAAUGACAUCAGCAAGGUCACAGAUUAAGGAGACCAGAAAUCUGUGCAUAUAAGGACACCUCAUUUGCAACUAAAGCAUAGGGCAGAUUAGUGAAGACAGAAAUUAAAAAUGUGCAAAAAUGGUGCUGAAACCAUUGGAUAGUCAGACUUUUUAAAAAAAUCCCUCCAUCAGUACAUUGCACCAUAUACCAAAUUAAGUGCAAAUGGAUCACAGACCCAAAUAUAAAACUUAAAUUGUAACUUUUAGGGAAAAAAAACUUCACAGGAAAACAAUAUUUGUAAACUUUAGUUAGACAAAGAUUUAUUAGAACAUAAAAACAAACUCCAUGUUUUUACUUUUUUAUUUUUUUUGGUACCAGGGAUUGAACUUGGGUCCUUCCACUUGCGAGACAGGCACCAGAACCACUGAGCUAAAUUCCCGGCCCUAGUUCAUGUUUUUAAAAGUGACAAAUUGGAAUUUAUAUGAAAAAUUUCUCAAGGAACUACAAGGGACUGAGAAGAUCGGGGAGAAGUAGAGGAGGAGGAUGGAAAAAAGGCUGGACGUGCUCAGUGCAUGGUGUGUGCAAGUAUGGGAUGAUCACAGCAAGUCCCACUCAUUUGUACGAUUAAUAUGUGUUGAUCAUUGUAAUAAAACAUUUACAUACAACACUAGAGACUAACCAGGAAGACCUGGAGCAGUGGUUCUCAACCUGGUUCAGGUGGGAGGAUCAUGAAUUUACAAUUUUUUAUUUUGAAAGUGAUAAGAUACUGAUAAAUAUUUUUAAUGAAAAACUUCUCUUUGAAAAUCAAUGUUAAGAGAAUGAAAAGACAACCCAGCACAUAAUAAACUAUAAAACUAUAGUUUUAACUAUAAAGCUAUAAUAAUACAAUGAAUUCUAAUGGCUAUAAUGCUAUUGCCAUUUUUUUUUCAGUACUGGAGAUUGAACCCAGAGCGUUCACACAGAGCUAUAUUCUCAGUCCUUUUUUAUUUUUUAUUUUGGGACAGGGUCACACUAAGUCCCUAAGUUGUCCAGACUGGGUUUGAACUUGCAGUCCUCUUGCCUCGGCCUCCCAGAGUGGUGGGAUUACAGGUGUACUAUACUGCACCCAGUUUGCUGUUGCAAAUUUUUUUUUUUUUUCUUGGUACCGGGGAUCGAACUCGGGUCCUUGCGCUUGCGCAGUGGACAGUGAAACCACUGAGCUAAAUCCCCGGCCCGCUGUUACAAAUUUUUACGAUGGAAAAGGUUUAAAGAGCCACUUCACCAAAGAAAAUAUAAUGGGCAGCAAGUAAGCACGUGGAAAGGUCUUCAGGAUCACAGUCCUUAGGCACCUUCCAGCUGAAAGCAGUGAGCUCACCCCACACACACACACCCGCUGGCGUCGCUGACCUUAAUCCAUGAUGAUGUGGAGAAGUGACCCUUGCCUGCUGCUGCUAGGAAGGUGUGGUCGUGCAGUUACUUUGGGAAACAGUGUGGCACAACAAAGAAACAUUGAACAUAUCCGCACUGUCUAACCCGACUUUCCACCCACAGGUGUUUACUUCAGAGAGCCACACUGAGACCUGCACAUGUGAGCUGGGCUGUGAGCUCCAGAGCCUGGAAACAACCCACAUGUCCAUCAGCAGAUCAUCUCCAAAUAACUCACAUCUGCGGGACUAGGGGUGUUGGAUUCCAAUACGAAGUUGAGAAGACACAAUUCAGCCCAUAACAGGCAGUAGAUGGGCCAUGAAUUAGUCAUCUUUCUGUUACCAUAACAAACUACCCGAGUUAACCAAUUUAUGAAGAGAGGAUUUAUUUUAGCUCACAGGUAUAGAUGCUGCAGUCCCAGAUUAGACAGAUCCAUUCUGGUGAGGACUGUGUGGUGGAGUAGUUCCUCACUUCAUGGUGGCUGAGAAGUGACAGAGGGGAAGAGAGACCAAGGUCCCACAGUCCCUUCUCAAGAGCAUGGCCCCAGGGACCUAAAACCUCCCAUAGGCUCCACCUCCUAAAGACCCCAUCACUUCCCAGCACCACCCCGCUGGACAUCAAGCCCCUAAUACCUAGGCCUUUGGGGAACAAUCUCGACUCUAAUUAUAGCAGGCCAUCAGCUGGUCAUUCUGGAGCUGAGCCACAGGUGCAGAGACCCGGUCAUUAAACCAUAUUCUGUGGUUUUACGGUAUAUGUCUGAUCGAAACAUGACAUUUGACAGCUCACUCCCGUGUGGCCUCCAUGCUCGUGUGGAAGCCACCCCAGCCUGUACCCUGGCUGAGCCACCAGGGAAGGGCCUUAUGGGGUACCCUCACUCACUGCUAUUGACCCGAGGGACACCACUUGGUCCCACACAGAAAAGCCUUUGCUCCCUUUAUAUGAUGUGUAAUCCAAACACCACACUUCCAGGAGACCCAGCAAUGAGGAUUCCAGGAAGGCUGCUCUUCCCACAUCUCUUGGAAGGGCUGCCGAGUGGGACCUACAACCAAAAUGUUCUCUGGUUCUGAUGUCAUUUAUUUCCAGAGGUGUUUACAGAACUCUAAAAAUAACUGCAGAGUAUGUUUUGAAAACUUCUCUAAAGUGCAGGAUGGACCUGUAAUUAUCUGGUUCUCACGAGCCGUUGCUCUCUCUGUGCAAUUAUGUGGUCGGUAGUCAUCAGAAAAUGACAGGUUUGUGCUCAGUGCCGUCAAGUUAUUAUCUAAAGCAGCAGUCCCCACCCCUCAGUGUGAAAAGCUACUAAAUCAAGCAAAAUAGUCAUCGGAUUCCUCUGCUUGUCAGAAGUGGAGCCAGGCUGCUAAACACCCAGAAUGUCAGCACUAAUGCUUCCUGUGACCCUCUGGGGCCUGGAUUUUUGGCCCUCUACUUACCUGACAAAGGCAAAACCGAAUCUCAGAGAACUUUCCAGUUCCUGCUGUGUCAUGACCAUUACAACAUCCUUGGGAAGAGAGCUACCUUCCUUUCUUUCUUUCUUUCUUUCUCUCUUUCUUUCUUUCUUUCUUUUCUUUUUCUGUCUCACAUUUUACUUUUAAAGAAACUGGAAGUUGAGUAGAGCAGGUGGCCAAAUGGUCAGGCAGAGUGGCAGGUCUGGAGACACCUGUGUGUGCUCACUUACGGCCUGGAGGGUGCAGGGUGGGUGCCUCCUCCCCACUUCAAUCACUUAUACCCCAACACACACCCUCUCAGGCCUGGCCCCUGGGAGAAUCUCACUGCGGCUCCUGACCUCAGUUCCAGAAGGCUCUCAGGUGUACGUGUGGACAGGGUGCCCAGGGGUUUCCCCAGCACUUGGCUGUGCCUUGGCAUGCAGGUGGUAGCCAACACUUUACCUGGAGAGGCCACUGAGUGAGGAAGCGCCUGCCUGCCUCUGCAGCCCCUCACCCUAGGAUGCUCACCAGCUGGGCUUGGUUGGGAAUGGACGAGGAGAGAGACCAGGGCCCAAAAAAAAGGCACUGUCCUAGUUCGUUUGUGGUGCUGUAACAAAAUAUCUGAGACUAGGUAAUUGAUAAAGGACAGAAAUUUUUUUCUUACAGUUUGGGGGUUGGAAGUCCAAGACUGAGGCACUAGCGUUGAUGCCUAGAAGGCUACUCUGCUUCCGAAGUGGCAUCUUGUUCCUGUCUUCACAUUGUGGGAGGGAGGAGAGCAAAACAGAUCUGAGUUAGUUCCCACAGCGCUUUGGUGUGGUCUAAUCCACUCACAAAGGUGUAGCCUUCAGUAUCUACUCAUUCCCAAAAGAUCCCACCUCUCAGCACCACCAAAAUUGGGCUUAGGUUUCAACACAUGAAUUUUGGAGGAGACACACUGAAACCACAGCAGACAGGCCACAAGUUUCUAAAUGCUGGAAUUCAUCCAAACCAACUAGGCCAAGCAGAACGAAAGUUCUACCUGCUCGAUAGCCUUGGACAUCUCAGCUUCAAUUUUUAGGUUUCCCAGUGCUGGCCUUUACCUGAGACUGGUUCUCCUGGAAAACACCUCUGGCUAAGAAGUGCCCACCAGCCCAUAUGACCUAGAGGAGCUUUGCUGUCUGCAUGUCUGUGAUGCCUGUUUACCGGUGACAAAGCCAAUAUUUUCCUUCUGAUAUAUCAGCAUUGUCUCAAGAAUGAUUUGCUGAGAUGAGAGCAGUUUGUCCCUCUGAAACUGGCAGGGAAAAUACUGCCUGUGAUUUGGACUGGCUGACAGGCUUCCCACCUGGAACGGCCUGCCACAGCAGCCUGAAGGAUGUCAUCAUCUUACCUGGUUGGUGUUUGUCUUUGAUAAGUUCAAAUCUGGCAAAAGGCAAAUCGGUGGAGGGGCUGGGAUGGAGCUGGCAGAUGACUCCUCCAGGGUCAGGUCAGCUGCCUCUCACUCCACCUUGUCCACAUGACUGUGGGACAGUGCCCAGAGCUAGGCACACACAUGGGUGUUCCUGAGUGCUGGGGCACUCUUGGGUCAGAUUGCCGGGGUAACUGGGCUUCUUGUGCCAUGUUAGUAUCUCCAAAUAAUUGCUUUUGGCAUAUAUGAGUCCUGGAUGAAGAGGCUAAAUUUUGCUUAAAAAGAAAAAAGUUUUCAUCACUAUAAUCUGUUGUAAACUGAGUGUGCAUUUAAAAAAAAUUGUUAAGCUUUUCACUACAGAUUUUCAGAGUGAUUUGUCGACAUGAAGCCAUUGCCAAGUGCUGUGGGGUCCAGGAGGAUGAACACAAGUUCAGAGAAAGACUCAGGAUGGCGAGUAGCCAGUCAGCAGCUUGUGGGAAAGGGCCCGGCAGAUGGGCUGGCAGGGACGUGCUGUAGCAGCUACCAUGAGCAGCAUCUGCAGAAUGGCUCUGCUUCCUGGUCCCCACUACAGGCUCCCCUUAGAACCUACUUUCAGAAGGAAAAUUAUUUCCGGGGAAGCCCUGGGGGAUAGGAUUCUGGGAGUCGAUUCAGCAUAGACUGAAUUGUAGGCAGAGCCCAUAUGCCCUGUCCCUUGUCAGAAAUGAGAGCUCACGGGGAGCAGCAGAACAGGAAACAGACACCCUCAAACAGGCCAGGGUUCCCAAGAGAGGGUGUGGCUAGGCCAGGAUGGGGUGAGACAACAGGGCUGUGAGGGGAGCAGGUGGAUGUGGCUUUCUGAUUGCUCUCAAGUUGACACCUACAGACAGCAAAUGGCGAUAGGGUCUUGUGGGAAGUUGGAUUUGGCCAAACCCCAGCACCUAAAUAAUUCCAUGGACCUUGCCUCAGAGGAUAACUGAUAAAUAAUGGGAAUAUUUUGCUAGAUGUUUUCUUUGAAAAAUGUGAACUUUGUUCAUUACAACAUUGUUUCCGGAUAGGAGGCCAGGCACAUGUUGUGCUACCUUACUCAACAUCAAAUCUAGAGAAAAGUAUAAUAAUGAAAUAAUUCAGUCUCUUAUCCAUGGAGAAUACAUUCAAGACCCCUAGUUGAUGUCAGAAACCAGAUAGUGUCAAACUCUACAUAUACUAUUUUUUUCCUGUACCUAUGAAAAAGUUUAAUUUAUAAAUUAGGCAGAGUAAGAAACAACUGACAAUAAAAAGAACAAUCAUAAAAGUAAAUUGUAAUUGACGUUUGAAUUUCGGGGCCAUUAUUGGGAUUACUUGAACAUAAGCAUCGAAGCACUACAAACAGCUGAUGUGAGGACACACAUGGCUACUGAGCAACUACUAGGCAGGUAGUGUAUGGAUGAGCCAGGCAAAAGGACAUGACUCCCCUCCCUAGUGGGGUGACAUUUCAUCACACUGCCAGGAUUGCACACAAUUAAAAACUUAUGAACUGUUUAUUUCUGGAGUUGUCUAUUUAAUAUUUCCUGACUGCAGCUGGCCACGGGCAACUGAAGUGAAACCAUGGAUAAGUAGAAGGGCAGCUGCACAAAGCCCAAUUCAGAGCCACAUGGAGGGCGGUUGUGGAUGAUAUGAGGCCCCAAAAGAUGGAGAAGAGACUCAAAGUUUCCGAGGGAAGUUGCAGAAGAUGGUCCCUGGAAAGGUGCCCUGUGCGUAGAAAGGAUAUCUGUUUGGGGAGAAGGUACUGAGCUGGGGGAGAGGUUCAGGAGUGGCCCACCUGUGACGGCCCCAUCUCUCACCUCCUGGGGGUGAGCGGGUGGCUGUCUACAGGGGAGGAAAAGGGCAGGGGACAGUCAUUCCAGGACACGGGCUCCAGGGCAGCCCAGCUUCCCCACUUUCUCUGAGAACAGUGAGUGGUGGCAGUGUUCACGUCCCCAAACUCAGAGACACACGUCUGACCUGUGAGGACACCGACACAGAAGAGAGAGGCCCAUAGGAGAACUCACAUCAGAGGAGAUCGAGUUAAUGGAGCAGCAAGACCAGAUGUGAAAGCAGAUGUAUUUAAAAUUCUCUGAGAGAAAAACAGGCAGCUACAAAACAAAAUGUGGCUAUGAGAAGAAGUCAAGUGAGAGAUGUCAGGAAAACAUUUAAAAAUAUAUAACUCUUAGAAUUUAAAAAUAACUUUAUGAAAAAUUCAAAUAAGCCAAAAAAGUAAAAGAUUCUACAAAAUGAGAUAAAUACUGUUAUAAUUUUAGUAAAUUUUCUUCCAGAUACAUACACACAGUAUACUUUCUAACAAAAAAUCAUACUUACACAUAUUUUAUAUGUAAUAUAUAUCAUACAUAUGUAUUUUAUUCUACCAGACAUAUUUAUGAUAUAUAUCCAGAAAGAAGUUGUUGGUGAUAAAACUGGAAGAAAUCAUGGUAUGAAAGUUUAUAUGUGACCAAGAAAGAGAAUAGCAAAUGUUGUCAGCUCCUAGACUCCAGAAAACUAAUUCCAAAAGUUUCACAGAAAAAGCCUAACUAAAUUGAUGCCUUGAGAGAGUGGGUAAGUACUCAAAAAAUAAAUUCUGACUGUGUUAUCACUAUUUCAGUACAGAAUAAAUAGAUGCCAUAGAUCUCUCCCUCCCCCCUUCUCCAUCUCUCCCCUAAGGAUAGAAGAAGGGCUUCUCUGCAUGCUAACCAACUACUCUACUACUAAAGUACAGCCUCAGCCAUAAAGAAGGUAAAUGAUAAGGAAAUCCUGAGGAUAAGGCAAAGAUCAACCAAAGUCCAUCCAAGAAGCAGGGGCCAAGCUGAGGUGGAAGACAUGGGGAGGAAGAUUUUCUUAAUAUUAGAGAAGGG